AGUCUAAGGGAUUAAUCUUAGAUAUAGCCUGCCCAAUGUGUAAUAUAAAUGGCCGCAGAACUUUAACUGUGCGAAGGUAGCGCGAUCGCUUGUCUUUUAAAUGGAGACUGUAUGAAUGGCUGCAUGGGGAGUAUCUGUCUCCUUUGGGUUAAAUUGAACUUGAUAAGCAGGUGAAAAUACCUGCUUUAUGAAAAAAGACGAGAAGACCCUGAGAGCUUUAAGGAGAAGCCUUAAUUUAAAGGCCAUCUUUUUGUUGGGGCAACAUUGGAACAAUUAAAUUUCCUUUCCAUACCUGCUAUUUUUAAUUGAGAGAGUAAGCUACCUCAGGGAUAACAGCAUAAUUUUUUUAAAAGUUUGUGACCUCGAUGUUGGACUAGGUAAAAACAACCCCCAGAAGGGGUUGUUUUAGCUCUGUUCGAGCAGUUUAACCU
rnacentral:rRNA from 1 species